AGCAGUCGCCGCGGGAAUACGUAGGGUGCGAGCGUUAAUCGGAAUUACUGGGCGUAAAGCGUGCGCAGGCGGUUAUAUAAGACAGAUGUGAAAUCCCCGGGCUCGACCUGGGACCUGCAUUUGUGACUGUAUAGCUAGAGUACGGUAGAGGGGGAUGGAAUUCCGCGUGUAGCAGUGAAAUGCGUAGAUAUGCGGAGGAACACCGAUGGCGAAGGCAAUCCCCUGGACCUGUACUGACGCUCAUGCACGAAAGCGUGGGGAGCAAACAGGAUUAGAUACCCCGGUAGUCCCUGUCUCUUAUAC
rnacentral:rRNA from 1 species